rnacentral:rRNA from 1 species
GAGUUUGAUCCUGGCUCAGGACGAACGCUGGCGGCGUGCUUAACACAUGCAAGUCGAGCGAUGAAGCUUCCUUCGGGGAGUGGAUUAGCGGCGGACGGGUGAGUAACACGUGGGUAACCUGCCUCAAAGUGGGGGAUAGCCUUCCGAAAGGAAGAUUAAUACCGCAUAAUAUAAGAGAAUCGCAUGAUUUUCUUAUCAAAGAUUUAUUGCUUUGAGAUGGACCCGCGGCGCAUUAGCUAGUUGGUAAGGUAACGGCUUACCAAGGCAACGAUGCGUAGCCGACCUGAGAGGGUGAUCGGCCACAUUGGAACUGAGACACGGUCCAGACUCCUACGGGAGGCAGCAGUGGGGAAUAUUGCGCAAUGGGGGAAACCCUGACGCAGCAACGCCGCGUGGGUGAUGAAGGUCUUCGGAUUGUAAAGCCCUGUUUUCUAGGACGAUAAUGACGGUACUAGAGGAGGAAGCCACGGCUAACUACGUGCCAGCAGCCGCGGUAAUACGUAGGUGGCGAGCGUUGUCCGGAUUUACUGGGCGUAAAGGGUGCGUAGGCGGAUGUUUAAGUGGGAUGUGAAAUCCCCGGGCUUAACCUGGGGGCUGCAUUCCAAACUGGAUAUCUAGAGUGCAGGAGAGGAAAGCGGAAUUCCUAGUGUAGCGGUGAAAUGCGUAGAGAUUAGGAAGAACACCAGUGGCGAAGGCGGCUUUCUGGACUGUAACUGACGCUGAGGCACGAAAGCGUGGGUAGCAAACAGGAUUAGAUACCCUGGUAGUCCACGCCGUAAACGAUGGAUACUAGGUGUAGGGGGUAUCAACUCCCCCUGUGCCGCAGUUAACACAAUAAGUAUCCCGCCUGGGGAGUACGGUCGCAAGAUUAAAACUCAAAGGAAUUGACGGGGGCCCGCACAAGCAGCGGAGCAUGUGGUUUAAUUCGAAGCAACGCGAAGAACCUUACCUGGACUUGACAUCCCUUGCAUAGCCUAGAGAUAGGUGAAGCCCUUCGGGGCAAGGAGACAGGUGGUGCAUGGUUGUCGUCAGCUCGUGUCGUGAGAUGUUAGGUUAAGUCCUGCAACGAGCGCAACCCUUGUUAUUAGUUGCUACCAUUAAGUUGAGCACUCUAAUGAGACUGCCUGGGUAACCAGGAGGAAGGUGGGGAUGACGUCAAAUCAUCAUGCCCCUUAUGUCCAGGGCUACACACGUGCUACAAUGGUAGGUACAAUAAGACGCAAGACCGUGAGGUGGAGCAAAACUUAUAAAACCUAUCUCAGUUCGGAUUGUAGGCUGCAACUCGCCUACAUGAAGCUGGAGUUGCUAGUAAUCGCGAAUCAGAAUGUCGCGGUGAAUACGUUCCCGGGCCUUGUACACACCGCCCGUCACACCAUGAGAGCUGGUAACACCCGAAGUCCGUGAGGUAACCGUAAGGAGCCAGCGGCCGAAGGUGGGAUUAGUGAUUGGGGUGAAGUCGUAACAAGGUAGCCGUAGGAGAACCUGCGGCUGGAUCACC